UGAGGUAUGGUGUAAUGGCAGCACCAGGGAUUUUGGUUCCCUUAGUAGAGGUUCGAAUCCUCUUACCUCAACCA
rnacentral:tRNA from 2 species